rnacentral:rRNA from 1 species
UACGUAGGGGGCAAGCGUUGUCCGGAAUCAUUGGGCGUAAAGAGCGCGUAGGCGGUCCGGUAAGUCCGCUGUGAAAGUCAAGGGCUCAACCCUUGAAUGCCGGUGGAUACUGUCGGGCUAGAGUCCGGAAGAGGCGAGUGGAAUUCCUGGUGUAGCGGUGAAAUGCGCAGAUAUCAGGAGGAACACCAAUGGCGAAGGCAGCUCGCUGGGACGGUACUGACGCUGAGGCGCGAAAGCGUGGGGAGCAAACGGG